GACGAACGCUGGCGGCGUGCUUAACACAUGCAAGUCGAGCGAAUGGAUUAAGAGCUUGCUCUUAUGAAGUUAGCGGCGGACGGGUGAGUAACACGUGGGUAACCUGCCCAUAAGACUGGGAUAACUCCGGGAAACCGGGGCUAAUACCGGAUAACAUUUUGAACCGCAUGGUUCGAAAUUGAAAGGCGGCUUCGGCUGUCACUUAUGGAUGGACCCGCGUCGCAUUAGCUAGUUGGUGAGGUAACGGCUCACCAAGGCAACGACGCGUAGCCGACCUGAGAGGGGGAUCGGCCACACUGGGACUGCGACACGGCCCAGACUCCUACGGGAGGCAGCAGUAGGGAAUCUUCCGCAAUGGACGAAAGUCUGACGGAGCAACGCCGCGUGAGUGAUGAAGGCUUUCGGGUCGUAAAACUCUGUUGUUAGGGAAGAACAAGUGCUAGUUGAAUAAGCUGACACCUUGACGGUACCUAACCAGAAAGCCACGGCUAACUACGUGCCAGCCGCCGCCGUAA
rnacentral:rRNA from 1 species